rnacentral:ncRNA from 1 species
CAACGGGUGAAAGUCCAGUCUGAGUUAGUAUCAAGAUGUUCAGUAGCUGCUAACAGGCAACUGGUGGAGAAAUCCUAAGAUUAAAGCCCUGUGACAAAGCACCGGUGAAUCGGGCGAGCAACCCAA